CCAGUGGGGCGGGCCUACACAUGCAAGUCGAGCGGAUGACGGGAGCUUGCUCCUUGAUUCAGCGGCGGACGGGUGAGUAAUGCCUAGGAAUCUGCCUGGUAGUGGGGGACAACGUUUCGAAAGGAACGCUAAUACCGCAUACGUCCUACGGGAGAAAGCAGGGGACCUUCGGGCCUUGCGCUAUCAGAUGAGCCUAGGUCGGAUUAGCUAGUUGGUGGGGUAAUGGCUCACCAAGGCGACGAUCCGUAACUGGUCUGAGAGGAUGAUCAGUCACACUGGAACUGAGACACGGUCCAGACUCCUACGGGAGGCAGCAGUGGGGAAUAUUGGACAAUGGGCGAAAGCCUGAUCCAGCCAUGCCGCGUGUGUGAAGAAGGUCUUCGGAUUGUAAAGCACUUUAAGUUGGGAGGAAGGGCAGUAAGUUAAUACCUUGCUGUUUUGACGUUACCGACAGAAUAAGCACCGGCUAACUCUGUGCCAGCAGCCGCGGUAAUACAGAGGGUGCAAGCGUUAAUCGGAAUUACUGGGCGUAAAGCGCGCGUAGGUGGUUUGUUAAGUUGGAUGUGAAAGCCCCGGGCUCAACCUGGGAACUGCAUCCAAAACUGGCAAGCUAGAGUACGGUAGAGGGUGGUGGAAAUUUCCUGUGUAGCGGUGAAAUGCGUAAUAUAGGAAAGGAACACCAGUGGCGAAGGCGACCACCUGGGACUGAUACUGACACU
rnacentral:rRNA from 1 species